rfam:Blumeria graminis f. sp. hordei DH14, WGS project CATH01000000 data, contig: 000519
GUCACGAUGCCAGAGUGGUUAAUGGGUUAGACUUGAAUUCGGACUUCCGAAUACGACAUCUAAUGGCUUCGGCCGCGUAGGUUCAAGUCCUGCUCGUGACG